AUUGAACGCUGGCGGCAGGCCUAACACAUGCAAGUCGAGCGAGCGGCGGACGGGUGAGUAAUGUAUGGGGAUCUGCACGCUAGAGGGGGAUAACUAAUGGAAACGGUGGCUAAUACCGCAUCCUAUCGGUUUAACACAUAUGGGAUUCGCUAGUAGGUGGGGUAAAGGCUCACAUAGGCGACGAUCUCGAGCUGGUCUGAGGGGAUGAACAGCCACACUGGGACUGAGACACGGCCCAGACUCCUACGGGAGGCAGCAGUGGGGAAUAUUGCACAAUUGGCGCAAGCCUGAUGCAGCCAUGCCGCGUGUAUGAAGAAGGCCGUAGGGUUGUAAAGUACUUUCAGCGGGGAGGCGUUACCCGCAGAAGAAGCACCGGCUAACUCCGUGCCAGCAGCCGCGGUAAUUC
rnacentral:rRNA from 1 species